rnacentral:rRNA from 1 species
AGAACGAACGCUGGCGGCAGGCCUAACACAUGCAAGUCGAACGCCGUAGCAAUACGGAGUGGCAGACGGGUGCGUAACACGUGGGAACAUACCCUUUGGUUCGGAAUAACUCAGGGAAACUUGAGCUAAUACCGGAUAAGUCCGCGAGGAGAAAGAUUCAUCGCCGAAGGAUUGGCCCGCGUCUGAUUAGCUAGUUGGUGAGGUAACGGCUCACCAAGGCGACGAUCCGUAGCUGGUCUGAGAGGAUGAUCAGCCACACUGGGACUGAGACACGGCCCAGACUCCUACGGGAGGCAGCAGUGGGGAAUAUUGGACAAUGGGCGCAAGCCUGAUCCAGCCAUGCCGCGUGAGUGACGAAGGCCUUAGGGUUGUAAAGCUCUUUUGGCGGGACGAUAAUGACGGUACCCGCAGAAUAAGCUCCGGCUAACUUCGUGCCAGCAGCCGC